CUUCUGAAUGCUUUCACUGUGCCUACCGUGAGGGCUGUGUAGGUUGCUUCAUUGUAUUGUUCCUGGAAUAACCAUGAGAAAAAAGUGUGUUCUGGACAGACACACUGGUCCCCAAUAUUUUCUAUUGGCAGUUGGUUGAAUCCUAUGGAUACAGAGGGCUACCUAUACCAUCUAUUGCAAGUGGAGGAUGUUGGUAUGUUUUCUAAGUUUCCCAGGCUGGGUUUGAACUUGGGAUCCUUCUGCCUCAGCCUCCCAAGCUGCUGAAAUUAGGCAAAAUAUAAGACAGUUCUUAGAGAUGCGUGUUUGGCUGAAGAGGAAGGAAAUGAGAAACAUGAAGGGAAGAAACGAAGUUCUCCACCAGCUGAUGAGAACGGCUAGUGUUUCCCCAGGAAAAGCCCUUCCUCUGACCUACAUUGAUUUCUCCUGACCUCUAGACGGUCUGGUCUGCAAGUGACCCCUUGAAUUUAGGGCUGUUUUAUGGAUUCUUGUUUUCUUGUUCUUUGUUCCCAUAAUUUCUGACCCAAUGCAGGAAACCAACCGUCACUUGGAAAGUCACGAAACCAGGUCUUAAAAUAAAUUUCCAAUUUCUCCGUUUUGCUUUUCAUUCCAUUGGUUGGCAGGUGGGCGGCAAGGGGGAAGGUCUUUCUCCUGUCCCCUUGACCAGGGACCAUAAAAGAAUGAGAAGCUUUCUCCUGUAUGCCACUGUGGGCGUGAAUUCCACGAAGUGAGGCUGACACUGGGCACCCGCAGCUGUGUGGAUGGAGGGUCCCAUGGAGAGAAAGCGGCACCGUGGACAGAGAGACAGGUGGCUGAGGGGGUGCUGUGAGGGGAACAUUACACUUGGCUGAUUCCUAAGAUGGCAAGAGGCAGAUCUGCAUGCUUGGAAACUCGCACGGGGAAGCAUCUUCAUUUUUUUUAAAAGCUUAUGCCUCACAACGACUGCAUUCUCUUUGGAACCUGAACUCUGGCCUCCCUCAAACGCUUUGGUGAAUUUUUCAGUAAGCACUCCUGUGUUUUAUUCUGUGACUCUGGCUUCAUCCAUUUGGCUAAAAGACUUUGGCUUACGUGAUAAGAAGUUCAUCUUGGUACAAUGAUCACAAGUAACAGCAAACGCAGAAUGUCUGGCUUGCAGAACGUCUCUGUGUAGCCAGAGAAACAAUUUAUUUCCUAAAAAUAAAGGUUUGAGGGCUGGGGAUUUAGCUCAGCGGCAUAAGAGCCUGCCUUGCAAGCAGGCAGUCUUGAGUUCGAUCCCUGGUACCAAUAAAAAAAAAAAAAAAAAAGGUUUGGUCUAUCCAGUAGAGUUAUGUUCAUGAUAUAGCUUUUAGUGUGCAACCCCUGUCACACACAGAGCCAAGAAACACAGCCCUGGGUUUAAUCUUUCACCGAUGCAAAUAUUUGAUAGAAUACUUAAGAUUUUUAUCUCAAGGCUGGACCUUAAAAAUUUAUCUCAAAAACAGCCUCUAAACCAGGAGAUGCCCACACCUGUAAUCCCAGCACUCUGGGAGGCUGAAGCAGGAGGAUUGGAAGUUCAAGAAUGGACAGUUUAGAGGCUUCGCAAGAUCCUGUCUGAAAAUGAAGAUAAAAAAGAGUAUGUGUGGCUCUGCAUUCAAUCUCCAGUGCAAAAAACCUGCUUAGUAUCUUGUCCCACACGCUCCAGAAAAAAAUUAACUUGUGGCCUACACUACCUAGUUUCUAUUUUUUGUCCAUUAAACCAUACAUAACAACUGCAUAAUUCACAGAGGUUUCUGGCAACGUUAUCUAGAAAGUUAUAGGGAAAUCUGGGGGAAGCAUGUGGCAUUUCUCUACUCUCUUUAUCAGAAUUGUUAGAGUUUUCCGGUGCAAUAAAGGAGCAGGAUAUAAGAAAAAGUAAAAGCGGCCUUUUUAAUUAAAGGAUGUGGAGAGGAGCCCACCACCAGCAAUGGUUUGGUUUUCUCCUCUGACUGGAUAUGAGGGUGUGGGGUAUAAGUGACCUCUGAGCAGAUGUGGGGCUUGGGGUGGGCAUUGAUGACAUAUGAGGAGCUGAUUGGUUGAUUCUUUGUGUGCAUGGGGAAAGGAAGAAGGAAGUUGUAAUCCGAGAAGAAGGAAGUGGCUGUCAGGGUAAGCAUCCCCGAUUUGGCCUUCCACCCUGUUGAAUUACAGCCAUAAUGUCCUGUAAUUUAUUCUAGGGCAAAACUCUUUCAAGAAUAUAACCAGAAAAAGCAACUUGAUAGGGCGAGAUACAUUAGCUCUGAGAAGAACAAUUAACCUGAUGUAUGGAAAUAUCCACAUGCAAUGUUUGGAAACUUUAAAACUGUGAAUAAACAAAAGAAGUUAUUGUAUCUAA